UGAGCUUGCACUUCCUUCUGCCCCGUGUUUCCUGGCUGUGAGGAGGCAGAGACAUUUCCCUGCUCCUCACACCCCACGAUGCUCGACCUCCACCAAGAGAAGACGGCGGGGUGCAGGCCACCCGUCUGCUGGCUGACACAGCCCCACGGAAGGUUCUGGAAACUGUGAGCGAAACUGUUAUCCCUGAUGAGAGAGAGCAAGUCAUCUCUUCACCCCACCGAGACCUGAGAUCACUGCCAACCCUGGCAGGGAUCCACCUUAUGCCGGGCAUCGGGAAAGCACUGUACACACAGCUGUUAAUUCCUGGGGGAGCGGACGAGCAACUCAGGCUCUGAGGACCCGUAGAUGCUCAUUUGCAUAGGCUGGGAAGGCUGAUGCACCCACUUGCCACAGGUCCCAACAUGGACGGAGGAUGUCACCCAGAGUCCUGCCAGGCACACAGCCAGCUUGCAGGAGGAGCCAUCACAGUGUGCAAGUAUAUGGUGGACAGAUGGGAGAGCCGGAGGAGGAGCGGCCUGAGCAUUGUGAAGACAGAGGGCAGCUGGAGGCGAGGGGCCUGAUGUGAGUGGCCAGCUACCUCGGCCCGGAUGAGAUACCUCUGAAGGUCACGUCUGUCCAUGGUUACUCAGCAGCAGGGGUCAGGGUCAGUGUCCACGGCUCAUAUCACCACUAGAGAACACAGGGAUGUCCCUGGUGGGGGCAGCCACUGGAGACCAUGGGAUGUACAGGGGCUGUGCAGAACUGGCCCUGCCCCUCACUGCCUGUGGCACUCUGGACCCUGGUCCUUGCCUAGACAGCACAGUGGGGCUGGCCCUGCCUCCUGCCAAUGGUGGCAUUGGGUGACCUAGCUGGAGCGGUGCUGGAGAGCUUGCAGAUAAGGGAGAGCUGGCGGGCUGACCAGCUCAGCUACCACCCAUGCCCAGGUCCAGGGCUCUGAGCUGGCCUACCCCAGCUCUCUGUCAUCUGUGAACAGUUGGGAUUCGUGAGAAGGACAGUCCUGCAGAUCCAAAGCUGCAGGAUCUCCAUGAUACAGGACAACAACAGGUAACCGGGAGGAGUCCCAGUGAGCAUCCAAUACGGAUGGUGUCACCGAAGCCAGAGAUCUCGAACCAGACCAAAGACUCACUGCAAGGAACAUUUGCAAGUGAAGACGUGUGGACAGAGGUGUGUACUGUGGGUCCCACGGUGACACCACAGCUUCCGUGACGAGGCGUUCUCUUUGCUUUUUUGGUCUACUUUGAAGGGAGGUUGGGUGCAAGGGCAAAGGGGUGGAUAUGAGGGGGCAGGGAGAUGAGUGGGACUGGGGUGAAUGAUGUGAAGCUCACAAUAAAAAGUUUCAAGGUGAGCACACUGAUUGAUGGAGCGUAGUUAUGGACCAUGGCGGACCUAUACCCGGCAGCAGAGAGAGCCCCAGGCAGACGUGAUUUCACGAUUGGUAGACCUAGAUGAUUUGAUGAAGACAGGGUGCAUCUGACCAGAGAUCACUUGAAAAAAGUAAUUCUUAAUCCCUUCCUUCAUAUGAUAUUCAGAAAUUAAUCUCCAGUGGAUACAGAUGUGCGUGCACUUCACACAGAUGUGUUCACACUACAGGCAUACACACAAACACACGUGCGUGCCCCACGAUUGUACAGGCACAAGAUUUAUUCAUUACUUCUACAGCAGGACACCCCAAAUCACCCACAGGUGAGCAUAUACAUAAACUACACAGCCUUGCAAUGAAGGCAGAUCCAGCAGCUGACACCGACGACAGCAGCAUGAAUGAAGCCUAAAAACGGUGCUGAGCAAAAGAAGCAGAAGGACAUGCAUGCUAUGAAAUUCUAGAUCACCGAGACAGUCUACCCUGACUAAAGCGGCUUACGCCAGGAGUCUGAGGAUAACUCCACAGGGACACGGAGGAGCUUCGGAGGGGUGAAAAUGUGUUGGCUGCUAAAAUGUAUUUGAAUACUUACACUGUAUACAUUUUACUGUGACUCAUGCUUAUAAAAACAAUUCCAAAGGUAAAAACCAUUAUGUAUGCGCAUGCUACGGCUUUAUUUUGUCUUUUUAAAUAGAUAGAACUAAUGCUUAUAGGUGUCUCCUUGCCCUGUAUGGUUGCAGCAUGGUGGAAAAAUCAUGUAGUCAGCGUCGUGAGCAGCAGCUGGAUUCAGCUCCUGCUGAGUGGCCCCCCAGGGCUGCAAGCCCACCCUCAGGUAACUGCUGCGGCCACGGCGUUCCCGGGCUGAGUAAGACGUCAGAGGCCUGCUAGGCUGCACACACCCGCUUAUUCUGAACAGCCUUGGAAGCUAUU